GAUGAACGCUGGCGGCGUGCCUAAUACAUGCAAGUCGAACGCUUCUUUCCUCCCGAGUGCUUGCACUCAAUUGGAAAGAGGAGUGGUGGACGGGUGAGUAACACGUGGGUAACCUACCCAUCAGAGGGGGAUAACACUUGGAAACAGGUGCUGAUACCGCAUAACAGUUUAUGCCGCAUGGCAUAAGAGUGAAAGGCGCUUUCGGGUGUCGCUGAUGGAUGGACCCGCGGUGCAUUAGCUAGUUGGUGAGGUAACGGCUCACCAAGGCCACGAUGCGUAGCCGACCUGAGAGGGUGAUCGGCCACACUGGGACUGAGACACGGCCCAGACUCCUACGGCAGGCAGAAGUAGAGAAUCUUCGGCAAUGGACGGAAGUCUGACCGAGCAACGCCGCGUGAGUGAAGAAGGUUUUCGGAUCGUAAAACUCUGUUGUUAGAGAAGAACAAGGACGUUAGUAACUGAACGUCCCCUGACGGUAUCUAACCAGAAAGCCACGGCUAACUACGUGCCAGCCGCCGCUGUAA
rnacentral:rRNA from 1 species